rnacentral:lncRNA from 1 species
GACCAGAACCGAGUGCAGUGCUUCAGCUGAGUCUCACCGACGUCUGGGAUAAUGUGCGCUAAUUUCUGGAGACAAACACGUUUUGUCAUAACCCGAGACCUGUAAUCAGUACUAUUGGCUGAAACAGUCAUCAUGGCAGCUUUGCUUCGAGAAGACAGAGAUGUGGGAUCCCUUGCACGAGAGCACACAGCAGCUGCAGAACUCUGCCUUCUCCAGUCUGCCCAGAAAGUAGACUCAGCCAGUGGGAUAAAGAGACCUUAAAAAGGAAGACUUGGUUAAAAUGCUUUUAGUAGACAUUAUCAUAAAACUUCCUGGACUUCAUUUGAUAAGAAAAGGGGCAAAAGCGAAACCAUAAUGCAAUGUAUACGUUGUUUAUUUCUGACAUUUUACACGAGGAGAUUCCUCAUCUGUGUCCUCGGUUGAGACCAGUAAGAAAAUACAAAGUUAUCCCACUAUGUAAGCUGACACUCCUUCAAAGCCUUGUUAUUCUUGUUCCUUUCGAUGUAUAUCAACUCCAAAAUACACAGUGACACGAAAAUUGUGU